GUCGCCUCAUCUUUCUCUCGAUGCGAGAUCAUUGAUUUGGAAGAGGAAAGAGUCAAAGAGACGCGGUGUCGGGGCGGUGCCGAUCAAUAACGGCACUCCAUCUCCUUGUCCUUGCUGCUUCCAGUCCCGAGGAAGAAGGAAGGUUCACUGCGGUUUCUCCCGGCGUCUCAGUCGAAAAGGAAAAUAACCUAUGUCCUCUCCAAACUUUCUCCUUCCACCAAUCCCUUUUGCUAUUUUAUGCCUCAUUAGUGACUGCAUGGUAGUUGCAUGUACGUGACAUGUUCUGCUUCUCCAUCGCGGGAUUGUCGCCUCAUCUUUCGCUUGAUGCGAGAUCGUUGGUUUGGAAGAGGAAAGAGUCACAGAGAUGCGGUGUCGGGGCAGUGCCGAUCAAUGGAGCUACAUGGGAUGAAACUGUUGAAGGCUGCUAUGUAAAAAUAAGCAUCAGAUAAGCCCAAGUUGGUGUCCGUUGGCAGCCUUUUGAGGAGUGAAGUUUCAAUAAUUGGGACAUGAUAAAUAUAAGUUUGACAUUAUUUAUUCUAACCAAUGUUUAUUUCUUUCAAGGACGUAAUGGGUGCAAGUGUAUAUGUAAAGGGCAUCAGUUAAACCUUAUGGCUCUUACUAAAAUGGCAUGAUUAAGUACAAGCUUGCCAUUCGGUUGUUGCUUUUCUUUUCAUGAACAUCCUAUUAACAAGAUAUCUAAGGUGAUUGUUGUGCUACUUAAUGUUUAUUUUAAAACUACAUCUCUA